AGAGAGAGAGAGAGAGAGAUUUUGAACAGAAGAUGACUGUAAUCCAAAAUUACGGCAAGGCCAGGUGAUUGUGACCCAAACUUUUAAUAAAAUCCAGAAAUAACUCAACAAAAGUUACUAUUUUUCAGCUCCCAAGAUUCAUACGAAUAAAUCAUUUGAACAUUAUCUUCGAAAGAGUAAUUAGGAAUUGAGAUUUGUAGCAAUUUUUAAGCGAGGAGGGAAGGUGAAUGAAUUAUUCAAUCUGAUCGAUUUGUCUAUCCCAAAAUGUGUGCUUCCACAAAGUAUGGGUCAAGCUACUCUAUUUCGAGAUCUUCAUCGAUUGGCUAGAGUUCAAUCGACAGGCAGUUCUUUAAAUAGAUAAUUUACUUAGUGAAUCAGCUAUGCUUAAAGAUCUUUAGGAUCUCAAGUGAUGUGCCUUGGCCUACUUAACCUUCUUACCAUGGGCUCUUAAGUAUGAUGAACAUAAGCUUUAUUGUUUGAAUCUACAUGGGACAUUGGACCAAGAUUAGUAGGUCUAUGGGCUUCAAGUUAUUGGUUUGGAAUGUGUCAAGAUCAAAGCCCAAGAAGAUGCCUAAAUGGCGUGUGGGAUGGAAGAGGAGGAAGAGAUCAAGAAUUGACCAAACCUAUCUUAAGCCCAACAUGGCCUUUAUGGAUUUAUUUUCCUUUUUCAAGAAGCACUCCUUCUCUGUUUCUCCAUCAAGAAAUUUGUCCAAAGGGAUCCAAGGAAGAAUCAAGAUAUUUCUUUGUUUAGUUUCUCUUUAGUUUUUCUUACUUUGAGACUAUUUUUUUUCUUGUAAAAGUUCCUUUGUAUUUUCCUAAUAGUUUCUUAUCUUUGUCUAUAAAUAGGCUUUCUUUUGUAAUUUUGUUUUUUAACACAAUUCAAAAAAUAAAGAGAAAGCUUAGCAAAAUUCUAUUAAUUAUUAUCAAUCUAAUUUGAUUGUGG
rnacentral:misc_RNA from 1 species